rfam:Ovis aries breed Texel chromosome 13, whole genome shotgun sequence.
UCCCUGGUGGCUCAGACAAUAAAGCAUCUGCCUACAAAGCAGGAGACCUGGGUUCAACACCUGGGUCGGGAA